UGCAUGUCUCAGUGCAAGCCACAUUAAGGUGAAACCGCGAAUGGCUCAUUACAUCAGUUAUGGUUCCUUAGAUCGUACCCACAUUACUUGGAUAACUGUGGUAAUUCUAGAGCUAAUACAUGCAAAUAGAGUUCCGACCAGAGAUGGGAGGAAUGCUUUUAUUAGAUCAAAACCAAUCGGUGGCGGGCUUGCCUUGCUCACCGUUUGACUUGGUGACUCUGAAUAACUUUGUGCUGAUCGCACGGUCUCGUACCGGCGACGCAUCUUUCAAAUGUCUGCCUUAUCAACUGUCGAUGGUAGUUUCUGCGACUACCAUGGUUGUUACGGGUAACGGGGAAUCAGGGUUCGAUUCCGGAGAGGGAGCCUGAGAAACGGCUACCACAUCCAAGGAAGGCAGCAGGCGCGCAAAUUACCCACUCCCGGCACGGGGAGGUAGUGACGAAAAAUAACGAUACGGGACUCAUCCGAGGCCCCGUAAUCGGAAUGAGUACACUUUAAAUCCUUUCACGAUUAACAAUUGGAGGGCAAGCCUGGUGCCAGCAGCCGCGGUAACUCCAGCUCCAAUAGCGUAUAUUAAAGUUGUUGCGGUUAAAAAGCUCGUAGUUGAAUCUGUGUCCCACACUGUCGGUUCACCGCUCGCGGUGUCCAACUGGCAUGUCUGUGGGACGUCCUACCGGUGGGCGCAGCCCGUCAAAAGGCGGCCCAACUCAAAAUCCUACCACGGUGCUCUUCACCGAGUGUCGAGGUGGGCCGGUACGUUUACUUUGAACAAAUUAGAGUGCUUAAAGCAGGCUCAUUCGCCUGAAUAUUCUGUGCAUGGAAUAAUGGAAUAGGACCUCGGUUCUAUUUUGUUGGUUUUCGGAACUCCGAGGUAAUGAUUAAUAGGGACAACUGGGGGCAUUCGUAUUGCGACGUUAGAGGUGAAAUUCUUGGAUCGUCGCAAGACGGACAGAAGCGAAAGAAA
rnacentral:rRNA from 1 species